AAAAGUAAGCAAGGGCGCAUGGCGGAUGCCUUGGCUCUCGGAGGCGAUGAAGGACGUGAUAAGCUGCGAUAAGCUUCGGGUAGGUGCAAAUAACCUUUGAUCCGAAGAUUUCCGAAUGGGACAACCCGACAUUCUGAAGGAAUGUCAUCCUGCUUGGCAGGAGGCUAACGCAGGGAACUGAAACAUCUUAGUACCUGUAGGAAAAGAAAAUAAUAAUGAUUCCCCAAGUAGUGGCGAGCGAACGGGGAUUAGCCCAAACCAAUGUUGUUACGGCAAUAUUGGGGUUGUAGGACCACGAUGUCGCAAGAACUUUAGUGAGAAGAAUUCUUUGGAAAAUGAAACCAUAGACGGUGAUAGUCCGGUAUUCGAAGCUAAACGAAGCGUAGUGGUAUCCUGAGUAGCGCGGGACACGAGGAAUCUUGCGUGAAUCUGCCGGGACCAUCCGGUAAGGCUAAAUACUCCCGAGAGACCGAUAGCGAACCAGUACUGUGAAGGAAAGGUGAAAAGCACUUCGAAUAGAAGAGUGAAAUAGUCCCUGAAACCGUGCGCCUACAAGCGGUCGGAGCAGCGUAAGUUGUGACGGCGUGCCUUUUGCAUAAUGAACCUACGAGUUACUUUUUCCGGCAAGGUUAAGCAUUUCAAAAUGUGUAGCCGAAGCGAAAGCGAGUCUGAACAGGGCGAUUAGUCGGAAGGAGUAGACGCGAAACCAAGUGAUCUACCCUUGGUCAGGUUGAAGGUUAGGUAACACUAACUGGAGGACCGAACCGAUAAGCGUUGAAAAGCUUCCGGAUGAACUGAGGGUGGGGGUGAAAGGCUAAUCAAACUUGGAGAUAGCUCGUACUCCCCGAAAUGCAUUUAGGUGCAGCCUUGGGAAUUACUACUGUGAGGUAGAGCGACUGAUAAGAUGCGAGGGCUUCACCGCCUAUCAAGUCUUGAUAAACUCCGAAUGCGCAGUAGUUCGAUCCCAGGAGUGAGGGCAUGGGUGCUAAGGUCCAUGUCCUAAAGGAGAAGAAUCCGGACCAUCAGCUAAGGUCCCGAAAUAAAUACUAAGUUGAACUAACGAAGUCAGAUUGCUAAGACAGCUAGGAUGUUGGCUUGGAAGCAGCCAUUCAUUUAAAGAGUGCGUAACAGCUCACUAGUCGAGGAGUUUGGCGUGGAUAAUAAUCGGGCAUCAAGUAUUCUACCGAAGCUUUGGGAUGUGUAAACAUCGGUAGGGGAGCAUUCCACUCGGCGUUGAAGGUGAGGCGUGAGCCUUGCUGGAGCGUGUGGAAAAGCAAAUGUAGGUAUAAGUAACGAUAAAGGGGGUGAGAAACCCCCUCGCCGAAAGACUAAGGUUUCCUGAUCAACGCUAAUCGGAUCAGGGUUAGUCGGGUCCUAAGGCUCAGCCGAACGGUGAGGCCGAUGGCAGAACAGGUUAAUAUUCCUGUACUACCUUAAGGAGUGACGUGGAGACGGAGCAGUGAUAGCGCCGCGGACUGACGGAAUAGUCCGUUGAAGGGUGUAGAUGUUGAUCUUUGCAGGCAAAUCCACAAAGAGAGUCGAACCUGAUAGUAUACCAAAUUCUUCGGAAUAAGGUAAUAGUGCGUGUAAGCAUACUCCCAAGAAAAUCCGCUAAACUUAAUCUUUAAGGUACCCGUACCGCAAACGGACACACGUAGUCGGGUUGAAUAUACUAAGGCGCUUGAGUGAUUCACGGUUAAGGAACUAGGCAAAUUGACCCUGUAACUUCGGGAUAAAGGGUCCCAACGAGAGUUGGGCGCAGAGAAUAGGUCCAGGCAACUGUUUAACAAAAACACAGGGCUGUGCCAAAUUGAAAGAUUACGUAUACAGCCUGACACCUGCCCGGUGCUGGAAGGUUAAGAGGAGAUGUCAUCGCAAGAGAAGCAUUGAAUUGAAGCCCCAGUAAACGGCGGCCGUAACUAUAACGGUCCUAAGGUAGCGAAAUUCCUUGUCGGGUAAGUUC
rnacentral:rRNA from 1 species